UCUCUCUCUCUCUCUCUCUCUCUCUCUGUGUGUGUGUGUGUGUGUGUGUGUGAGAGAGAGAGAGAGAGAGAGAGAGAGA